GAGGAAAUAGCCAAGUGGUAAGGCUUUGGUCUGCAACACUAAGAGCAUGGGUUGGGCUCCCAUUUUCCUCU
rnacentral:tRNA from 1 species